GACGUAGGGCGCGAGCGUUGUCCGGAUUUAUUGGGCGUAAAGAGCUCGUAGGCGGCUUGUCGCGUCGACUGUGAAAACCCGCGGCUCAACUGCGGGCCUGCAGCCGAUACGGGCAGGCUAGAGUUCGGUAGGGGAGACUGGAAUUCCUGGUGUAGCGGUGAAAUGCGCAGAUAUCAGGAGGAACACCGGUGGCGAAGGCGGCUUUCUGGUCUGAUUCUGACGCUGAGGAGCGAAAGCCAGGGGAGCGAACGGG
rnacentral:rRNA from 1 species